rnacentral:rRNA from 1 species
GACAGAGGGGGCAAGCGUUGCUCGGAAUCACUGGGCGUAAAGCGCACGCAGGCGGUCUGUUAAGUUUGGAGUGACAGUUGGUGGCUCAACCACCAAAGUGCUUUGAAAACUGGCAGACUUGAGGGCUUCAGAGGGACACGGAAUUCCGGGUGGAGUGGUGAAAUGCGUAGAGAUCCGGAGGAACACCGAAGGCGAAGGCAGUGUCCUGGGGAGUACCUGACGCUCAGGUGCGAAAGCCAGGGGAGCGAACGGG